ensembl:lncRNA LINC03058 long intergenic non-protein coding RNA 3058
CUUUACGCUACACAUUUAUGUCAUAUCUUAGGAACAAAGAAUGGAAUAUGAGGUUUCAGGAGCCUGGAUUCCAGGGUGAUGACUGAUCAAGGGCCCUCCCAUUGGGAAGAGAUUAGCAGGUCAGGGCAAUAUGGCACCUAAGAAGAGUCUUCAUGUAAAGUGUGGUGGAAUGGCAGGGAGAAUCUGUGCUCACGUUUGGUAUGAACAAGUAUACGAAAGUAGCAGCAUCUGAAAGGAAAGGGGUUGAAUGGAUUUAUAUGAACAUUACCUGGAAAUUGCCAGAGAUUCUUAAAG